rnacentral:lncRNA from 1 species
CUGACAGCUUUUGUUUUUACUGCAAGGUCUUGUUCCACCUUCUUCCCACGGGUCCAGGCAGUUGUUCUUCUAGUCUACACUGUCUCUUGUAGCUUGUUUGUCAUCUGGAGGGAAUAGGUUGGAAAUCUUGUAUUUGGGUAUCUAUUCUCAUACAGGGAGGAAAUACAGGCAAUUAGGUUAAAGUCAUAGGCACCAUGUAGAGGGCUGGGCUGGAAGGAAGUCAAGCUCUAAGUGUUGACUGUGUGGGAGGAGCUGUGAACAUGAGGAUGUGAACCUGAGUAAGACGGAUCUCUACCCAAAGGAGCAUGGUCUAAUAAACAGAGAAGGCUCAGGAGGGUCAGAAACACGGUGCCUCAUUUCUCAGCCUACUUGCCAAGAAUUCCCAAAAAGGAAGCACUGGAGGAUCAUUCCAAGGCUUGAGCCUUUCUUCACGAAGUAAGUCAGGUUGUGGGCGAGAGAUUCAGAAGACUGGAGAGAGUUUUUCUGCACUGCCUGCUCAGCACCAGAGAAACCGGAGGACCCUUGGCUGUGCCCACAGCGGGAAAAGCCCAGGCUCCAGGUCCAGGACUACCCACUUCCCUUGGAAUGGUGUUGCCAUCACUGUUCUGGCACCGGAGAAAGGAUUCUACAUCGUUAGGAGAAAAGAAAAAGGAGAAUUUGGGCUUGCACUGAGAGGAUUACCUUUGGUGGUCUGGAAGUGGUGGGGUUGCAGCAUUGAAGGCACCAUCUUGGAAGCAGAGACUAGACCCUCACCAAGCAAUUAACAUGCUGGUGCAUUGAUCUUGGACUUUCCAGCCUCCAGAACUGUGAGAAAUAAAUUUCUGUUCUUAAUUAAUUACCCAGUCCCAGGUAUUCUGUUAUAGCAGCACAAAGCUUAGACGGGCUCCUUACAUCUUGAGGCUCCAUUAUCUCCUGGGAACUGGGAGUCCUUAGGUUCUAGCCAUGGAAAGAGAAACAAAAGAUGGAGAAGGCACACAUGCUUCUUAAUGGUCGUGGUUCAGAAGUAACAAAUACUAAUUCUAUAUAUUCUACUGGCUCAACACAAAUGCAGGGGUGUGCUGGGAAUGGAGUCUCUGAUUGGGCAGCAGGGAUCAGGGAUCAAAGAUCAGGAAAUAUUCCAGGGUGAAUAUUUUACUAGGUGAGGAGGACCAUGAAUUUUGACAAACAGCCUUUGCUGCUCUACCCACUCCUCAUCAUCACUGUUAGACACAAAGAGAAAUGGCAGCACUUUUUGUCCAUUGAUUGUAACUCUUUCUUUAAAGACUUUUAAGGCAGAAUCUCAAUUCAUCUCUUCUAUGAAACUUUCAUGAUUCAAAGGGAAGUCCCUGCAUGGACACUGCCAGCUUCAUUGCACUUCUGCCUCUAUGCUUUUUCCUGAACCUUCUCCACCUCUGGAACGUACUUCAGGCUGCACAGGGAGCAUGGCUGGGAGGCCUCAGGAAACUGAC